rnacentral:lncRNA from 1 species
AAAAGCAAUAUUUAAACCGUCCUUAUACUGAGAUGAGAUUUUGGUAUUCUUAGAACAGCCUGCUGUUGUACCUGCUCCGGGGCAGAUUCAUGUGAGUAUAACAAGAGAGACUGUAUUUUCUAUUUCUGCUAUUUCUACUUUUAUCAUGUUUGUCCUGUUGUGGAAGGGCCUUCAGCAGCAACAGCUUCAGCCCUUAAACCCCCCUCCACUCCCACAUUCCCCAAUGACCAUUUUCAAUGACAACUUAAAAGACUGACACAAAGAUUUAUCCCCCCCACCAAAAAAAAUAAAAUAUAUAUAUAUAUAUAUAUAUAUUAGAAUGAAAUCUGGACUGUCUUAGAUUUCAAAUGAUAUCAACUUUUACUCUUUUUUUAUUAUUAUUAUUUCCUGAUUUUUUUUUUUAAUAUAAGUGUAUGAAGAGCUUUUGACAAUGAUUUCUCCCCACACACCUCCCCCCCUCCACCCCCCCAAAGGGCAUCCCAAAUGAAUAGCUUAAAUGUAGGGCUAAAUCACUUCUGAAAAUGGCUGUCCAGGAAUUUUGGAAACAACAGGCUUAAUGGUAUUUGUGUUCAGUUUGAAGGAACAACAUCCCAAGCAGUCCUCUCAGUUUCUGUGCUGUGAAUGAAGCCCUGGGUGAACAAAAACCCUGGCAAGGGAGACAUGGGAUACUUAUGCUAGAAGUGUUUACAGAAAUGAUCUAAGGUCAAUGGGAAAUGAAAACAAAGCACUUCUGUGGUCUGUCUUCAGAUGAAGUGAUGCUGCUUCUACCUCAGGCUUUUGAAGGUAACAGCUUCUGCAGAUGCCAGUUUUGGUAAGGACUCAAAACUGCUAAAGAACAGAUGUGAAACACCAAUAGCAUGCCUGUGGUAGUAUUUUCUGCACUUCAGCAUCAUUCCUAUAAAUGGCCACCAAAGAGCAUCAGAGUUCCAACAGAUUGGGAACCGGAACAUAUGAAGCGCUACAGUGAGCCAAUGCAGAUGUUACUGGCACUACAAGCAGCUUAACGAAAUACACUUAAGCUUGUUAUUGCUAACAGCUAAGGAAAUCAGAAUAAAUAUAUCACACGAGUAUACA